rnacentral:rRNA from 1 species
UGAGACCGGCGCACGGGUGCGUAACACGUAUGCAAUCUACCUUGUACAGAGGGAUAGCCCGGAGAAAUCCGGAUUAAUACCUCAUAGUAUUAUGAAAUGGCAUCAUUUUAUAAUUAAAGAUUUAUCGGUACAAGAUGAGCAUGCGUCCCAUUAGUUAGUUGGUAAGGUAACGGCUUACCAAGACUAUGAUGGGUAGGGGUCCUGAGAGGGAUGUCCCCCACACUGGUACUGAGACACGGACCAGACUCCUACGGGAGGCAGCAGUGAGGAAUAUUGGUCAAUGGACGCAAGUCUGAACCAGCUAUGCCGCGUGCAGGAAGAAGGUUCUAUGGAUCGUAAACUGCUUUUGUACAGGAAGAAAUUAUCCCUCGUGAGGGAGCUUGACGGUACUGUAAGAAUAAGGAUCGGCUAACUCCGUGCCAGCAGCCGCGGUAAUACGGAGGAUCCAAGCGUUAUCCGGAAUCAUUGGGUUUAAAGGGUUCGUAGGCGGUUUUGUAAGUCAGUGGUGAAAGUUUGCAGCUUAACUGUAAAAUUGCCAUUGAUACUGCAAGACUUGAAUGUUUGUGAAGUAGCUAGAAUAUGUAGUGUAGCGGUGAAAUGCUUAGAUAUUACAUGGAAUACCGAUUGCGAAGGCAGGUUACUAACAAAUUAU